GGGAUGGAAUACGUUAAAGAUACAAGGGUCCAACAGCACCUGGAAUUCCUCUUCAUGCAAGUGGGUCAUUCCCAGCACCCUGGCGCUGUACACCCGAUGAUGUACGCUUACCCGUAUAGGUUUUAAGUAGCCCUUGUUUUAAACUGAACCAGUUCUCCAAAGCUGUUCCUUGGUGUGUCUUCUUUGUCUCACUCACCAAGUUCUUGCCUGCACUCACCUGCCGGGCUGAGCUUCCCUGCUCCUGUCCAGCCCGGCGAGCAACAGACCUGACUACAUCAAGGGAGAAGUGGCUCCUGGCUGGCAAACUAAUACAGAUGGGAACCCACAUGCCGGAUACUUUAACAAAGUCUUCUCCAUAAACCGGGAAGGUGGACUCUAUUCUAACACGCCGCGUGGAGGAGGGGAUGCGACCUCAGAGAAGAAAACACACACUAGUGACACAAAGAGACAUUGAGGCAUCCCUCCAACAGCUGUCGUCUGUGAAGGAUUAGCAGAGCGUACCCGGAACUGUUUUCUAGGCCGUCUUCACCCCAUCAGCAUCGUCGUUAGCAGCUGCCGCUCUUUACCUCCAUCCUCCCCAAGUCUUCUGUCUGAAUUAGAUGGAACUGAGUCACCUCCAGCCACACUGGCGGAUCACACCAUAACAUG